rnacentral:rRNA from 1 species
GGAGUUUGGACCGUGUCUCAGUUCCAAUGUGGGGGACCUUCCUCUCAGAACCCCUACUGAUCGUCGCCUUGGUGGGCCGUUACCCCGCCAACAAGCUAAUCAGACGCAUCCCCAUCCCUUACCGCUGAGCUUUAUUCACCGUCAGAUGCCAUCUAGUGAAACUAUCAGGAGUUAAUCCGGUUUUCACCGGGCUAUGCCUGAGUAGGGGAAGUUGGAUACGCGUUACUCACCCGUGCGCCGGUCGCCAUCUGGCUGAGCAAGCUCAGCCAAUGUUACCCCUCGACUUGCAUGUGUUAAGCCUGUAGCUAGCGUUCAUC